GAUGAACGCUGGCGGUAUGCCUAACACAUGCAAGUCGUACGAGAGUUUUUAACUCUAGUGGCGGACGGGUGAGUAACACGUGAGAAUUUGCCUUUAGGAGGGGGACAACAAUUGGAAACGAAUGCUAAUACCCCAUAUGCUUUCGAGUGAAAUGGAUUUUAUCCGCCUAGAGAGAAGCUCGCGGCUGAUUAGCUUGUUGGUAAGGUAAGAGCUUACCAAGGCGACGAUCAGUAUCUGGUUUGAGAGGACGAUCAGACACACUGGAACUGAGACACGGUCCAGACUCCUACGGGAGGCAGCAGUGGGAAUUUUCCGCAAUGGGCGAAAGCCUGACGGAGCAAUACCGCGUGAGGGAAGAAUGCCUAUGGGUUGUAAACCUCUUUUUCUAGGGUAGG
rnacentral:rRNA from 1 species